rnacentral:rRNA from 1 species
GCUAACGGCCGCAAGGUUGAAACUCAAAGGAAGUUGACGGGGGCCCGCACAAGCGUGGAUGAUGUGGAUUAAUUCGAUGCAACGCGAAGAACCUUACCUGCUCUUGACAUGCCAGGAACCUUGGAGAGAUCUGAGGGUGCCCGAAAGGGAAUCUGGACACAGGUGCUGCAUGGCUGUCGUCAGCUCGUGUCGUGAGAUGUUGGGUUAAGUCCCGCAACGAGCGCAACCCUUAUCAUUAGUUGCUACGCAAGGGCACUCUAAUGAGACUGCCGGUGACAAACCGGAGGAAGGUGGGGAUGACGUCAAGUCCUCAUGGCCCUUAUGAGCAGGGCUUCACACGUCAUACAAUGGUCGGUACAGAGGGUUGCCAACCCGCGAGGGGGAGCCAAUCCCACAAAGCCGAUCGUAGUCCGGAUCGCAGUCUGCAACUCGACUGCGUGAAGUCGGAAUCGCUAGUAAUCGCGGAUCAGCAUGUCGCGGUGAAUACGUUCCCGGGCG